rnacentral:rRNA from 1 species
GCUUGUCUCAAAGAUUAAGCCAUGCAUGUCUAAGUAUAAAUAACUACACAGUAAAACUGCGAAUGGCUCAUUAAAACAGUUAUAGUUUAUUUGAUACAUUAUAAAUGGAUAACUGUAGAAACACUAGAGCUAAUACAUGCCAAGCCCGCAAGGGCGUAUUUAUUAGAUAUUCCAAGUAGGUGAUUCAUAAUAACUUUCGGAUCGACGCAAGUCGAUGCAUCAUUCAAGUUUCUGCCCUAUCAGUUGUGGAUGGUAGGGUAUUGGCCUACCAUGACUUUAACGGGUAACGGAGAAUUAGGGUUCGAUUCCGGAGAGGGAGCCUGAGAAAUGGCUACCACAUCCAAGGAAGGCAGCAGG